CCAUAUCAAUAAGCGGAGGAAAAGAAACCAACAGGGAUUGCCCUAGUAACGGCGAGUGAAGCGGCAACAGCUCAAAUUUGAAAUCUGGCUUCGGCCCGAGUUGUAAUUUGCAGAGGAAGCUUUAGGCGCGGCACCUUCUGAGUCCCCUGGAACGGGGCGCCAUAGAGGGUGAGAGCCCCGUAUAGUUGGAUGCCUAGCCUGUGUAAAGCUCCUUCGACGAGUCGAGUAGUUUGGGAAUGCUGCUCAAAAUGGGAGGUAAAUUUCUUCUAAAGCUAAAUACCGGCCAGAGACCGAUAGCGCACAAGUAGAGUGAUCGAAAGAUGAAAAGCACUUUGAAAAGAGGGUUAAAUAGCACGUGAAAUUGUUGAAAGGGAAGCGCUUGUGACCAGACUUGCGCCGGGCAGAUCAUCCGGUGUUCUCACCGGUGCACUCUGCCCGGCUCAGGCCAGCAUCGGUUCUCGCGGGGGGAUAAAGGCCCUGGGAACGUAGCUCCUCCGGGAGUGUUAUAGCCCGGGGCGUAAUGCCCUCGCGGGGACCGAGGUUCGCGCAUCUGCAAGGAUGCUGGCGUAAUGGUCAUCAGCGACCCGUCUUGAAACACGGACCAAGGAGUCAAGGUUUUGCGCGAGUGUUUGGGUGCAAAACCCGCACGCGUAAUGAAAGUGAACGUAGGUGAGAGCUUCGGCGCAUCAUCGACCGAUCCUGAUGUUUUCGGAUGGAUUUGAGUAGGAGCGUUAAGCCUUGGACCCGAAAGAUGGUGAACUAUGCUUGGAUAGGGUGAAGCCAGAGGAAACUCUGGUGGAGGCUCGCAGCGGUUCUGACGUGCAAAUCGAUCGUCAAAUCUGAGCAUGGGGGGCGAAAGACUAAUCGAACCAUCUAGUAGCUGGUUACCGCCGAA
rnacentral:rRNA from 1 species